CCGCCGCCAACGCGCAGGUGCUAGCGGCCUCUUCGCCCUGCAGAUAUUCCCACUCUGGCCACUGCCCAAAGGGGCUCUUAUCUGAGGAAUACUGCUGACUUCGUGUCCCUAGUUUUACAGAGCCAUCUUUCUGAAGCAUAAAUUAGAUUACAUUAUUCUACAGCUUAAAUCCUGCCAUGAACUUCCCGUCACCCAAGAGUGGAUCUGAAACUCCUUAGAGUGUCAUUUAAGACCCUUCUCUAUGUGGCUGCCAUGCAUUUUUUCAACUUUAUGUCCAACCUUGCAAUAUACACACAUCCAUCUCCCUCCCACACCCUCUGCAGGACUUUUUGGUUCCAGAACAUGCCAUGUGCUUUUCUCCUUUGGAGCUCUUUGAAUAGGAUGCCCUUCCUCCCUUGUCUGCCUGUAGAUAGAAACAUUCUGUGCAUUGGUGGAGUCGACCCUGACCACCAUUUUCUCAGCAUGCUGAAUUACUUCUCUUCCCCUCUGUGUUUGCACAGCUUUGUUUGCGCACAGUAGACUUUUGGCUGGGCCAUGUAGACUGCCUCCUCCAUGAGUUUGCCAGCUUUUUGAGGACAAUGUCUGUUUUAUUCAUCCUCGAAUUCUCAGUGCCUAGCAGAGUGCAUAGCACAGGGUAGUUAUGCAAUACAUAUUGGAGUAAAGGAAUACAAUUCAAAUAAACAGUCUCAUUAACAGAUGCAAACCAACUCCUCUCAUGACAGCAGAGAAUCUAAGCUCAAACAAAUUACCAGAGUUGGCAGUUGAAGUACUAUAUAUAAACAGAACUUAAUAAAUGCCUUUGUUUGUCUUAAGCCUUUGAUGACAGUGAUGUGUUUUUAUGAACAUAGAUAACCACAAGCAGAUGUGUCAAAGCUCUUUUGUCCAGGAAUAAACUGAGUUUCGUCAUCAUCUUGACAGUACUUCCCUGGAUGAGUGUUCAGGAAACAUGAAAAGUUUUUAGAACCAUUCAACAAAUGUGUAAUAAAAGUUUGUUAUCUUGUUUUAUUUGUUGUU
rnacentral:sRNA from 1 species